AAGGUAGAGGUGCAGUUAAGAUGAGUACUUCGGUUUCGGAUCGCCAGUCCCAUGAAGCCGCAGGAAAGGUGAAACUGCCGAAGGACAGGAUGCGGCAUACCCUGUUCUGGUCACUUAUCGAACAGGUAUUUGACUGUCAUCAUGUUAUGAUGGAGUGCUAUCGG
rnacentral:ncRNA from 1 species